rnacentral:rRNA from 1 species
AUUGAACGCUGGCGGCAGGCCUAACACAUGCAAGUCGAGCGGAUGAUGGGAGCUUGCUCCUUGAUUCAGCGGCGGACGGGUGAGUAAUGCCUAGGAAUCUGCCUGGUAGUGGGGGACAACGUUUCGAAAGGAACGCUAAUACCGCAUACGUCCUACGGGAGAAAGCAGGGGACCUUCGGGCCUUGCGCUAUCAGAUGAGCCUAGGUCGGAUUAGCUAGUUGGUGAGGUAAUGGCUCACCAAGGCGACGAUCCGUAACUGGUCUGAGAGGAUGGUCAGUCACACUGGAACUGAGACACGGUCCAGACUCCUACGAGAGGCAGCAGUGGGGAAUAUUGGACAAUGGUCGAAAGCCUGAUCCAGCCAUGCCGCGUGUGUGAAGAAGGUCUUCGGAUUGUAAAGCACUUUAAGUUGGGAGGAAGUGCAGUAAGUUAAUACCUUGCUGUUUUGACGUUACCGACAGAAUAAGCACCGGCUAACUCUGUGCCAGCCGCCGCCGUAACAC